rnacentral:rRNA from 1 species
AAGGAAUAUUGCUCAAUGGAGGAAACUCUGAUGCAGCGACGCCGCGUGAGUGAAGAAGGUCUUCGGAUCGUAAAACUCUGCCCUUGGUGACGAAAAAAAUGACGGUAGCCAAGGAGGAAGCCCCGGCUAACUACGUGCCAGCAGCCGCGGUAAUACGUAGGGGGCGAGCGUUGUCCGGAUUUACUGGGCGUAAAGGGUGAGUAGGCGGUAAUAUGUGUCAGAUGUAAAAGGCUAUGGCUUAACCAUAGUUGGCAUUUGAAACUGUAUUACUUGAGUGCAGGAGAGGUAAGUGGAAUUCCUAGUGUAGCGGUGAAAUGCGUAGAUAUUAGGAGGAACACCAGUGGCGAAGGCGACUUACUGGACUGUAACUGACGCUGAGUCACGAAAGCGUGGGUAGCAAACA